UACGUAGGGGGCAAGCGUUGUCCGGAUUUAUUGGGCGUAAAGAGCGUGUAGGCGGCCAAGUAGGUCCGUUGUGAAAACUCGAGGCUCAACCUCGAGACGCCGAUGGAAACCAUUUGGCUAGAGUCCGGAAGAGGAGAGUGGAAUUCCUGGUGUAGCGGUGAAAUGCGCAGAUAUCAGGAGGAACACCGGUGGCGAAGGCGGGUCUCUGGGCCGUAACUGACGCUGAGGAGCGAAAGCAUGGGGAGCGAACAGG
rnacentral:rRNA from 1 species